rfam:Homo sapiens chromosome 16, GRCh38 reference primary assembly.
UUAUUUUCCUUGACAGUGCUCAAGAAAAUGU